rnacentral:rRNA from 1 species
AACUGAGAAUAAUGCCCGAUAGAACAUUAUGCCUGGAAUGGUUUAUGUUCCAAAUGAUUUAUCGCCGUAGGAUGGGACUGCGGCCUAUCAGUUUGUUGGUGAGGUAAUGGCCCACCAAGACUAUUACAGGUACGGGCUCUGAGAGGAGUAGCCCGGAGAUGGGUACUGAGACACGGACCCAGGCCCUAUGGGGCGCAGCAGGCGAGAAAACUUUGCAAUGUGCGAAAGCACGACAAGGUUAAUCCGAGUGGUUUCUGCUAAAGAAACCUUUUGUCAGUCCUAGAAACACUGAUGAAUAAGGGGUGGGCAAGUUCUGGUGU